UACGGGGGGGGCAAGCGUUGUUCGGAAUUACUGGGCGUAAAGGGCUCGUAGGCGGCCAACUAAGUCAGACGUGAAAUCCCUCGGCUUAACCGGGGAACUGCGUCUGAUACUGGAUGGCUUGAAUCCGGGAGAGGGAUGCGGAAUUCCAGGUGUAGCGGUGAAAUGCGUAGAUAUCUGGAGGAACACCGGUGGCGAAGGCGGCCUGCUGGGCAGUAGCUGACGCUGAUGCGCGACAGCGUGGGGAGCAAACAGG
rnacentral:rRNA from 1 species